CAGUAAGCUUCCUACCCUGGAGGAGGAGGGUUCCUGCCUUGCUGGGUUUGGGAAGCACUCCAGUCACUGUCUACCACAGACCAUUGGGGCCAAUCAGAAGAACCCAAAUGCAACAUCUGCAUUUGGACGAUCAGCUACGGAGCGCUGUUUCCAGAGCAUUUUCCAAGAUGGGUCUGUAUCAGUGAGACGUGGCACGCAGCCGAAGCCAGAGCCCCAGCCUCUAGCAUGUCAAUGGCAUGAAGCUGGCAGAGCUUCGAGGGAGAGAAGGCAGCCCCUGUUCUUCUCCAGGAGCACAUGGAAAAGACACUGAGUUCUAGGUCAAGGAUAGCCCAGACUGACCGCAACGCACCAUGCAGUAGAGCCUUUCUCCUGUUAUGAAAUAACCUGACAAGAGCCACCAGGAGGUGAAGGGCUCAUUUGAUACUCGGUUAUGCUGUCUCAUCUCCAGCCUGUGAGAUAUCACAGUGGCAACUGUGCCAUCCAGUGUGGAACCGUACAUUCCCAGUGCUGUCAAUCUCCUCCUUCCUUGGAGUUCUGAGCCCUGGCUGGAACUUGCUCUGUAGACCAAGCUAGUUCUCCCUGCCUGGACAGUGCCAGGAUUAAAGGAAUGUGCCACCAUCAUUCAGCUCGUGAACCUGCCAUGUGGAUCCCAGAGACACAGCUCAGGCCUCGAGGCUUGGUGGCAGUGUCCUCCCCUGGGUCGUCUCAGCAGCCUGGACUUCGCAACAUGGUUGCUACCUCCUUUGUCCAGCUGGGGUCUUCAAUUGGCAAACAGAACUAGAAACAUGAAGACACAGAGGAAAGCUGACGGUUUUACCCCCUGGCUGAAUCUCAUCCUCACUAUAUAGGUCCACAGGACCAUGACCACAAGGACAGGAAGCCACAAUAAAGGUGUCAAGAAUUCAGCACA